GCCAGCGGGUCAUGCCGGGGACUCAUGGGAGACUGCCGGGGUCAACUCGGAGGAAGGUGGGAUGACGUCAAAUCAUCAUGCCCCUUAUGUCUUGGGCUUCACGCAUGCUACAAUGGCCGGUACAAAGGGCUGCGAUACCGCGAGGUGGAGCGAAUCCCAGAAAGCCGGUCUCAGUUCGGAUUGGGGUCUGCAACUCGACCCCAUGAAGUCGGAGUCGCUAGUAAUCGCAGAUCAGCAACGCUGCGGUGAAUACGUUCCCGGGCCUU
rnacentral:rRNA from 1 species